UUCUUUAGUUACUUGGGAAUUACUUGAAAAUGUAUUAGGUAUAACUGUUUCAAAAGAUAUGUUUUUUCAUAUACCUUAGAAAACAAUAGAUAUUUGUUCAGCUGUCUAAUUGUGGGUGUGCAUUUAAAAUGUGUAUUGUGAUUCCAAAAUUUUCUCUACCUAGAAGGGGAAUACAACACGUGGGAUUAUUAUUGCUGAUGACGCCAGAUAAUAUUUUGCCCAAACUCCUGAGCACUGGACAAAUACAGAACAAGAUAACAAGAGUUCCCAGCAAAGGAGUCAGGUUGGUAUUCAUACUAUCUCCCUUUUUAACCUCCUCCCCAGCCUUUUGGGUUUUAUUUUCUGUGGUGAUUGCAUCUCCAGCACACUGCUUUUUGUGUUCAUGACGGACAGGGCUUCUUUACUAGCUCUUGAACCUAACAAGCAUCCUAGUGGUUUUGAUUUCAGUGUGAUUUAUUUGCCUUUCUUAUCAGGCUAACCAGAAUGCUUUUAUCAGCCAUAUUAACUUGUAACACAGUGGAACUGGGUUUGCAGGUAAAAAAAAAAUGAGAUUUUUCAGUGAUGUACCUAUCCCUAAGAGGCCCUCUUUUCUGAGAUCUAUAAUGAAAAAUACUACUGUUAGCCAUGGAUUAAUUCUUUUUCUUAUGAAGCCACCAUU